AGAGUGAGGAGCAUCAGUCACAAAUAGCUGCUCUGCAAAGAGGAGGAGACAGCUUCCCACUCAUAGGCGCCUCAGGCAAAGUGCUCGGAAAGGCACUGCGAAGCUCUGACAAGAGCUCGAAGCCAGUGUACGUGUCUGUGGGCCACAAGAUCAGCCUGGACACAGCUGUCCGCCUCACACACGCAUGCUGCCGAUACCGGGUCCCUGAGCCAAUCAGACAGGCUGUGCUGUGCUUCUGCAGUGCACCAUAUGAUUACUGCAAGCCACCUGACUGCACUUGUUUUAGCUGGUGGGGAGAGGGGCAUCCGGCAGCAACAGGGACUGACUGUGGACAUCAGAGAGAAGCAGGAACAAUCUUACCUUCCUCUGUCCAGUCACCAGUGCCUCCCUCUUCAUCCUCCUUUCUUUGCCCAACUGCUCUGCUUUCAGUCUCUGACAUCCACAUUCCCUUCUGUGUCUCCCAGCAUUGCCCUCGUGUUCUCUCCCGGCUUCUGCCACAGGUACUUUCUCCUUCAUAGAUCCAGCUGCGAUGUUACGUCUCGCUGGCAGGCAAAUUUUCAUCCUUCAGGCUUUUGAAAUCACAGUCACAUCUCAUGAAAAAAGCAAAAUCAAAAAGAGAUCAACCUGACAGGAAGACUGAAUAACUGAAUACGUUUGACAGUAGAAAAUGAAAACAGGUUUUUGUGUGCAAAUGUUCAUCGUGGACAAACUAGAAAGAUGCAAAUAUAUAUAACUACCCACACUUAAACAGAUUCUGUGUCAGUCCCACACUUGCACAUACUUGGUAGGACUCCACAUCCAAAGGUUGCUUGGCUGACCAUCUAGUCAGCCUCUUGUUCUGCGUCGGCUCCACCUCAGCUCCAGUGAGGGUGUUUUUGCUUCCUUGUCUCUUUACCUUUGCUGAUGUUGAGCAGUGGGUUAUUCUCUGUGUACCAUGCUGUAAGAUUAUUGAUUUCCUCUAGAUAUAAAUCCUCUCUUCCUCUCAUCAGUGUUUAUAAUCUCACCAGAACGGUUGCGCUCUCUGCAGAGCUCACAAUAGAGUUCUCUCUGGGUCUCUGAAUGCAAUCGUGGGAGAACAGUGUGAACAGGAUGAGGCUGAACACUCAAACCUGGAGGUUUGUGGUGUGACGCUCCUGUCUGAGGAAGUCCAACAUCUAGUGUCAGAUUGUGGCGCUAAAGGCCAAAGUGCUGAGUUGAAAUCAACAAACAACAUACAGAUAUUUGUGCCUUGAUUUUCAAGGCGAAGUGGGAGGAAGUGGAGAUCUGAUCCUUUGAUGGUUCAGCCUGACUGAA